GACGAACGCUGGCGGCGUGCCUAAUACAUGCAAGUCGAGCGAACAGAUGUAGUGCUUGCACUUCUGACGUUAGCGGCGAACGGGUGAGUAACACGUAAGGAAUCUACCUAUAAGCGGGGGAUAACAUUCGGAAACGGGUGCUAAUACCGCAUAAUAUCUUCUUCCGCAUGGAAGAAGAUUGAAAGACGGCUCUGCUGUCACUUAUAGAUGACCUUGCGGUGCAUUAGUUAGUUGGUGGGGUAAUGGCCUACCAAGACGAUGAUGCAUAGCCGACCUGAGAGGGUGAUCGGCCACAUUGGGACUGAGACACGGCCCAAACUCCUACGGGAGGCAGCAGUAGGGAAUCUUCCGCAAUGGGCGAAAGCCUGACGGAGCAAUGCCGCGUGAGUGAAGAAGGCCUUCGGGUCGUAAAACUCUGUUAUAAGAGAAGAACAAAUUGUAGAGUAACUGCUACAGUCUUGACGGUAUCUUAUCAGAAAGCCACGGCUAACUACGUGCCAGCAGCCGCAGUAA
rnacentral:rRNA from 1 species